CUUGACUGCGGCCGCUCGAUCGGCAGGUACUCCACCGGCCGCAAUCUUGGGGCUCUUUGAUCUGUGUCCGGGAUUGAUCGGCGAACUCUUCGCGGAGUCGAAGCUUCGAGCGCCUUUCCUUCGAUAUUAGCAACAGUAAGCGGCGAUGGCUGUGCCCGAUUUUGCAAGAUCAGCUGCGUUGCUUUUCCGAGAGUCUUCAUUGACGCUGAGGAGUCUGGCGGGAUCGCCUCUCUGGUCGUGCCGUCGGUCGGCGCGCCCGAGAUUAUUCGGAUCCCCAUCUUUCUGCCUCCUGCAAGAUCCCUGUUGAAGUGGAUUGGGGCACCGACGGCAAGUACUCAAUGAAAAGAAGUCGUCAUUGGCCUCCGGCGACGGUCACCGAUUGGGCACGAGGAGCGAGUGCGUGGCGGAGCACUUUGGUCGAGCAGCCACGGCACACGACGGUGACCCGGACUCAGAAAUUAGACUCAGAUGGCAUUUGGUUUUCCAAUCACACAAAGAAAGCACAAGCUAUCCGAUCACAAAAUGCAUGUUUGAUCCACCAAUCUACAUGUGUUAAUGGUCGGCGAACAGCUACAACUCAAGUGGAGCAAAUAAACUCAAGAUCAUAUUUCAUUAUGCUCUGGAUGGCUUGUAGUAACAUGAGAUAAGAUCACAUAGUCCAGAAGGG